rnacentral:rRNA from 1 species
UACGUAGGGGGCAAGCGUUGUCCGGAUUUAUUGGGCGUAAAGAGCUCGUAGGCGGCUUAGUAAGUCGGGUGUGAAACCUCCAGGCUCAACCUGGAGACGCCACCCGAUACUGCUGUGGCUAGAGUCCGGUAGGGGAGCGUGGAAUUCCUGGUGUAGCGGUGAGAUGCGCAGAUAUCAGGAGGAACACCAGCGGCGAAGGCGGCGCUCUGGGCCGGUACUGACGCUGAGGAGCGAAAGCGUGGGGAGCAAACAGG